rnacentral:rRNA from 1 species
UCGCACGCGAAAGGGGGCAACCCUGAGUAAAGUGGCGCACGGGUGCGUAACACGUAGAUAACCUGCCCUUCGUUGGGGGAUAACGUUCCGAAAGGAGCGCUAAUACCGCGUACAGCAUUCUGGGGUUUGCCUCGGGAUGGCAAAGGCUGGGACCCGCAAGGGCCAGUCGACGAGGGAGGGGUCUGCGGCCCAUCAGCUAGUUGGUGAGGUAAUGGCUCACCAAGGCAAAGACGGGUAGCUGGUCUGAGAGGAUGAUCAGCCACACUGGUACUGGAACACGGACCAGACUCCUACGGGAGGCAGCAGUGGGGAAUCUUGGUCAAUGGGCGAAAGCCUGAACCAGCGACGCCGCGUGAGUGAUGAAGGCCUUCGGGUUGUAAAGCUCUGUGGGGCGAGACGAAAGCCUACGUUCUAACAGGACGUAGUUUGACGGUAUCGCCUUAGCAAGCACCGGCUAACUCUGUGCCAGCAGCCGCGGUAAGACAGAGGGUGCAAACGUUG